AUGGCUUCCUUCUAGACAAAACACAAUAUAUUGGUAAAUCUGUAAUAGAAAGUUUAAUGAGAUUGUCCCAAAGUGGUUACUUAAAGCUUAAUUUUAAAUUAACUGAAUUACACUUGCAUGCUAAAGAACAUCAACGCCAGAAAGUAAGAUAAGCCACGCAACUUUUUUCACGUACAGUAGCAAAUGCUAUUCAAUAUUAUGGUGAUAAAAAUGCUCUCUUACCAUCAAACUGGGAAAAGUGUGCAGAGAUCAUUCUUUUGGCGAACAAUUGGUUUGAUCGAUUAAAUUCUCAACAAACAUAUGGGGAUAACUCAAAUGCAUAUGGUUUAGA